rnacentral:rRNA from 1 species
GACGAACGCUGGCGGCGUGCUUAACACAUGCAAGUCGAACGGAAAGGCCCUGCUUUUGUGGGGUGCUCGAGUGGCGAACGGGUGAGUAACACGUGAGUAACCUGCCCUUGACUUUGGGAUAACUUCAGGAAACUGGGGCUAAUACCGGAUAGGAGCUCCUGCUGCAUGGUGGGGGUUGGAAAGUUUCGGCGGGUGGGGAUGGACUCGCGGCUGAGGAGCUUGUUGGUGGGGUAGUGGCUUACCAAGGCUUGGACGGGUAGCCGGCCUGAGAGGGUGACCGGCCACAGUGGGACUGGGGUGCGGCCAGGGCGGCUACGGGGGGCAGCGGUGGGGAAUAUAGCACACUGGGCGGAGGCCUGAUGCAGCAACGCCGCGUGCGGGAGGACGGCCUUCGGGUUGGAAACCGCUUUCGCCUGUGACGAAGCGUGAGUGACGGAAAUGGGUAAAGAAGCACCGGCUAACUACGU